rnacentral:rRNA from 1 species
UACGUAGGGUGCAAGCGUUGUCCGGAAUUAUUGGGCGUAAAGAGCUCGUAGGCGGUCUGUCGCGUCGGCUGUGAAAACCUGGGGCUCAACCCCAGGCCUGCAGUCGAUACGGGCAGACUAGAGUCCGGCAGGGGAGACUGGAAUUCCUGGUGUAGCGGUGAAAUGCGCAGAUAUCAGGAGGAACACCGGUGGCGAAGGCGGGUCUCUGGGCCGUUACUGACGCUGAGGAGCGAAAGCGUGGGGAGCGAACAGG